UGUCAGAAGUGGGAUUUGAACCCACGCCCUCUUUCGAGGACCAGAACUUGAGUCUGGCGCCUUAGACCACUCGGCCAUCCUGAC
rnacentral:tRNA from 2 species